UACUCGAGUGGCGAAAGGGCGAGGAAUACAUGGGCAACGUGCCUUCUGCACGAGGAUAACUGCGGGAAGCUGCAGCUAAUACUCGAUAAGACCACAGCACCUUCGGGUGCAGGGGUCAAAGGUGGGGACCUUCGGGCCUACCGGCAUUAGAGCGACCCAUGUCCUAUCAGCUUGUUGGUGAGGUAACGGCUCACCAAGGCGACGACGGGUACCGGGACUGAGAGGUUGACCCGGCGCAUCGGGACUGAGACACUGCCCGGACUCCUACGGGAGGCUGCAGUAACGAAUAUUCCGCAAUGGGCGAAAGCCUGACGGAGCGACGCCGCGUGUGGGAGGAAGCCCUUCGGGGUGUAAACCACUGUCAGGGAUUACCAAGCAAAGUUGGCGAAUAGCCUUCUGCGUUGAGGCGUCCCAGAGGAAGCCACGGCUAACUUCGUGCCAGCAGCCGCGGUAAUACGAAGGUGGCGAGCGUUGUUCGGAAUCACUGGGCUUAAAGGGCACGCAGGCGGACUGUCAAGCGUCUUGUGAAAGCCCCCGGCUUAACCGGGGAAUUGCUGGGCGAACUGGCAGUCUUGAGGCAGGUAAGGGCGAGCGGAACUCUUGGUGGAGCGGUGGAAUGCGUAGAUAUCAAGAGGAACGCCGGAGGCGAAAGCGGCUCGCUGGGCCUGACCUGACGCUGAGGUGCGAAAGCCAGGGGAGCGAACGGGAUUAGAUACCCCGGUAGUCCUGGCCAUAAACGAUGUCCACUAGAUCGGUGAACUUCUGACAGUGCGCCGGUCGAAACAAAAGCGUUAAGUGGACCGCCUGGGGAGUACGGUCGCAAGGCCAAAACUCAAAGGAAUUGACGGGGGCUCACACAAGCGGUGGAGCAUGUUGCUUAAUUCGAUGCAACGCGAAGAACCUUAUCCUGGACUUGACAUGUUAGGAUGCCUCCCUGGAAACAGGGUUGGUUGCCCUUCGGGGUGAAACUUUCACAGGUGCUGCAUGGCUGUCGUCAGCUCGUGUCGUGAGAUGUUGGGUUAAGUCCCGUAACGAGCGAAACCCUUGUCGUUAGUUGCCAGCGCGUAAUGGCGGGGACUCUAGCGAGACUGCCGGUGUUAAACCGGAGGAAGGUGGGGAUGACGUCAAGUCCUCAUGGCC
rnacentral:rRNA from 1 species